UUUUUUUAAUUUUUUUAAUCACGUCCAAUACGGACAUGAUUUGGGAUGCGGCCGCGCGGUGGCCGCACGCACGAUCCAACGGACAGAAUCAGACAUGGGCGAACCCAUUGCCGUUCCAAACAAACAAAAUCCGACUAAACCAGACGUUCGUUUGGGGUCGUGCGGUAAAGUUGGCCUUAUGAAAUGGAGUCCCAAGUGUGUUGUCCACCGG
rnacentral:lncRNA from 1 species